AGAACGAACGCUGGCGGCAGGCUUAACACAUGCAAGUCGAACGCCCCGCAAGGGGAGUGGCAGACGGGUGAGUAACGCGUGGGAAUCUACCUGGUUCUACGGAAUAACUGAGGGAAACUUCAGCUAAUACCGUAUACGCCCCAAGGGGGAAAGAUUUAUCGGUGCCAGAUGAGCCCGCGUUGGAUUAGCUAGUUGGUGGGGUAAUGGCCUACCAAGGCGACGAUCCAUAGCUGGUCUGAGAGGAUGAUCAGCCACACUGGGACUGAGACACGGCCCAGACUCCUACGGGAGGCAGCAGUGGGGAAUAUUGGACAAUGGGCGAAAGCCUGAUCCAGCCAUGCCGCGUGAGUGAUGAAGGCCUUAGGGUUGUAAAGCUCUUUCAGGAGGGACGAAGCUACUCGGGUUAAUAGCCCAGAGGGUGACGGUACCUCCAGAAGAAGCCCCGGCUAACUACGUGCCAGCAGCCGC
rnacentral:rRNA from 1 species